CCCGUUGAAAAGGUAGGGGAUGACUUGUGGAUCGGAGUGAAAGGCUAAUCAAGCUCGGAGAUAGCUGGUUCUCCUCGAAAGCUAUUUAGGUAGCGCCUCAUGUAUCACUCUGGGGGGUAGAGCACUGUUUCGGCUAGGGGGUCAUCCCGACUUACCAAACCGAUGCAAACUCCGAAUACCCAGAAGUGCCGAGCAUGGGAGACACACGGCGGGUGCUAACGUCCGUCGUGAAAAGGGAAACAACCCAGACCGCCAGCUAAGGUCCCAAAGUUGUGGUUAAGUGGUAAACGAUGUGGGAAGGCUUAGACAGCUAGGAGGUUGGCUUAGAAGCAGCCAUCCUUUAAAGAAAGCGUAAUAGCUCACUAGUCGAGUCGGCCUGCGCGGAAGAUGUAACGGGGCUCAAACCACACACCGAAGCUGCGGGUGUCACGUAAGUGACGCGGUAGAGGAGCGUUCUGUAAGCCUGUGAAGGUGAGUUGAGAAGCUUGCUGGAGGUAUCAGAAGUGCGAAUGCUGACAUGAGUAACGACAAUGGGUGUGAAAAACACCCACGCCGAAAGACCAAGGGUUCCUGCGCAACGUUAAUCGACGCAGGGUUAGUCGGUUCCUAAGGCGAGGCUGAAAAGCGUAGUCGAUGGGAAACAGGUUAAUAUUCCUGUACUUCUGGUUACUGCGAUGGAGGGACGGAGAAGGCUAGGCCAGCUUGGCGUUGGUUGUCCAAGUUUAAGGUGGUAGGCUGAAAUCUUAGGUAAAUCCGGGGUUUCAAGGCCGAGAGCUGAUGACGAGUCGUCUUUUAGAUGACGAAGUGGUUGAUGCCAUGCUUCCAAGAAAAGCUUCUAAGCUUCAGGUAACCAGGAACCGUACCCCAAACCGACACAGGUGGUCGGGUAGAGAAUACCAAGGCGCUUGAGAGAACUCGGGUGAAGGAACUAGGCAAAAUGGCACCGUAACUUCGGGAGAAGGUGCGCCGGCUAGGGUGAAGGAUUUACUCCGUAAGCUCUGGCUGGUCGAAGAUACCAGGCCGCUGCGACUGUUUAUUAAAAACACAGCACUCUGCAAACACGAAAGUGGACGUAUAGGGUGUGACGCCUGCCCGGUGCCGGAAGGUUAAUUGAUGGGGUUAGCGCAAGCGAAGCUCUUGAUCGAAGCCCCGGUAAACGGCGGCCGUAACUAUAACGGUCCUAAGGUAGCGAAAUUCCUUGUCGGGUAAGUUCCGACCUGCACGAAUGGCGUAACGAUGGCGGCGCUGUCUCCACCCGAGACUCAGUGAAAUUGAAAUCGCUGUGAAGAUGCAGUGUAUCCGCGGCUAGACGGAAAGACCCCGUGAACCUUUACUGUAGCUUUGCACUGGACUUUGAGCCUGCUUGUGUAGGAUAGGUGGGAGGCUUUGAAGCGUGGACGCCAGUUCGCGUGGAGCCAUCCUUGAAAUACCACCCUGGCAUGCUUGAGGUUCUAACUCUGGUCCGUGAUCCGGAUCGAGGACAGUGUAUGGUGGGCAGUUUGACUGGGGCGGUCUCCUCCUAAAGAGUAACGGAGGAGUACGAAGGUGCGCUCAGACCGGUCGGAAAUCGGUCGCAGAGUAUAAAGGCAAAAGCGCGCUUGACUGCGAGACAGACACGUCGAGCAGGUACGAAAGUAGGUCUUAGUGAUCCGGUGGUUCUGUAUGGAAGGGCCAUCGCUCAACGGAUAAAAGGUACUCCGGGGAUAACAGGCUGAUACCGCCCAAGAGUUCAUAUCGACGGCGGUGUUUGGCACCUCGAUGUCGGCUCAUCACAUCCUGGGGCUGAAGCCGGUCCCAAGGGUAUGGCUGUUCGCCAUUUAAAGUGGUACGCGAGCUGGGUUUAGAACGUCGUGAGACAGUUCGGUCCCUAUCU
rnacentral:rRNA from 1 species